GAAAUGCGAUAAUUAAUGUGAAUUGCAGAAUUCAGUGAAUCAUCGAGUCUUUGAACGCACAUUGCACCCCCUGGUAUUCCGGGGGGGCAUGCCUGUCCGAGCGUCAUUGCUGCCCUCAAGCACGGCUUGUGUGUUGGGCUUCCGUCCCUGGCAACGGGGACGGGCCCAAAAGGCAGUGGCGGCACCAUGUCUGGUCCUCGAGCGUAUGGGGCUUUGUCACCCGCUCCCGUAGGUCCAGCUGGCAGCUAGCCUCGCAACCAAUCUUUUUAACCAGGUUGACCUCGGAUCAGGUAGGGAUACCCGCUGAACUUAAGC
rnacentral:misc_RNA from 1 species